rnacentral:lncRNA from 1 species
GUGAUAUUUACAUGAUAUUUUGAAGGACUUUGGAACCAUUGAAAGACAAGCUUUGGAGUGGAGUUUGACUUUAUAAGUUAUCCCAUUCACCUCAUCUUCUUGAGAGAACCCCUAAGAACAUCCCUGAGUGGUGGAAAAUGGAGCAUGUUCAAUCAAGAACAGCCAAGUACUCAGGGGACUGCUAUAAAUGACACCGUUAGCUGCUAUGAUGCGAUCACCAUGUGCCUUUCAUAAGACCCAAACCAACAAGGGUAACCAUUGGUCAUAAGCUAAAAUCCUCAAAACUAAUUGGAAGUCGAAAGGGAAUACAACCUACAUCUCCGACCUCUUGAACAGCACAUUUAUUCACCAGUCCCAUAAGAUCAGGGCUCUGAGUGAGCCCGGAAGCCCAAGGAAUAAAGAUGAAGACAAAUGCACCAUAAAGGGAAAGAAAAGAAAUACUAAAACUAGGUGGGCCCAACAGCCUUUAAGGCUCUGAUUUCCUUGUCUACAGGAAGCAGGUGAGGUCAAAGGGCAGAGAAUAAAUGCCUCCAGUAUCUUCUUUGGGAAGCCAUUGUGGCUGAAAGGGAUACAGCAGCUCCUGAGUUUUGUCAUGGGACAGCUCCUGUUGCCAUCAUAAGCCAAGAGCAUUUCUUCUUCCCACUCCUUUCCUUUA